GAACGCAGAAGCCCUGGAGCAUGGCACGGGGUGGAAGAGUGGCGAACGGGUGAGUAACACGUGAGANACCAGCCCCCGACUUCGGGAUAAGCCCGGGAAACUGGGUCUAAUACCGGAUAUGACGACCGAAGCAUCUUUGGUUGUGGAAAGUAUUUUCGGUUGGGGAUGGGCUCGCGGCCUAUCAGUUUGUUGGUGAGGAAAUGGCUCACCAAGACGACGACGGGUAGCCGGCCUGAGAGGGCGACCGGGCCACACUGGGACUGAGACACGGCCCAGACUCCUACGGGAGGCAGCAGUGGGGAAUAUUGCACAAUGGGGGAAACCCUGAUGCAGCGACGCAGCGUGCGGGAUGACGGCCUUCGGGUUGUAAACCGCUUUCAGCAGGGAAGAAGCCUUUCGGGGUGACGGUACCUGCAGAAGAAGUACCGGCUAACUACGUGCCAGCAGCCGCGGUAAUACGUAGGGUACAAGCGUUGUCCGGAAUUAUUGGGCGUAAAGAGCUCGUAGGUGGUUGGUCACGUCUGCUGUGGAAACGCAACGCUUAACGUUGCGCGUGCAGUGGGUACGGGCUGACUAGAGUGCAGUAGGGGAGUCUGGAAUUCCUGGUGUAGCGGUGAAAUGCGCAGAUAUCAGGAGGAA
rnacentral:rRNA from 1 species